UACGUAGGGAGCAAGCGUUGUCCGGAAUCAUUGGGCGUAAAGCGCACGUAGGCGGCUUUCUAAGUCGGGGGUGAAAUCCUGGAGCUCAACUCCAGAACUGCCUUCGAUACUGGAGAGCUUGAGUCCGGGAGAGGUGAGUGGAACUGCGAGUGUAGAGGUGAAAUUCGUAGAUAUUCGCAAGAACACCAGUGGCGAAGGCGGCUCACUGGUCCGGUACUGACGCUGAGGUGCGAAAGCGUGGGGAGCAAACAGG
rnacentral:rRNA from 1 species